CUACGGGGCGCUGCAGUCGAGAAUCUUCCGCAAUGGGCGCAAGCCUGACGGAGCAAUGCCGCGUGAGGGAUGACGGCCCUAGGGUUGUAAACCUCUGUCAGAAGGGACGAAGAACGUGACGGUACCUUCAGAGGAAGCCAUGGCUAACUACGUGCCAGCAGCCGCGGUAAUACGUAGAUGGCGAGCGUUAUUCGGAUUUACUGGGCGUAAAGGGUCCGUAGGGGGUCGGCCAAGUCUGAUGUGAAAUCCUGCGGCUCAACCGCGGAACUGCAUUGGAAACUGGCGGACUAGAGUGUGCGAGGGGUGAGCGGAAUUCCUGGUGUAGCGGUGGAAUGCGUAGAUAUCAGGAAGAACACCGAUGGCGAAGGCGGCUCACUGGCGCAUCACUGACCCUGAGGGACGAAAGCGUGGGUAGCAAACAGGAUUAGAUACCCCCGUAGUC
rnacentral:rRNA from 1 species